UAUGUAAAACGUGGGUAAUUAAUAAACUACUACACUCGGUCUCAUUACAUACGAAUUAUACGAAACUCGUGAUCUUUGUAUGGUUUCUGACCUCACUUUCGCUCGGUCAUUUAUUUAUUACCCACGUAUUCCCCUGCAUAAAAUUGACAAAAUAGCGUAUUUAUGUUAAUUAUAUGAUUUCAAACCGACACCGGUUUCAUAAUGAGGCUGCGGAAGAAUUUGGUUCUGUAGGACAUUUUUG